CAUGCUUUCUGCAUUAAAUGGAAUCAUUUACCGGAAUUUGUUGUUGAAUGCACAUCUUAUGUUUCAUUU
rnacentral:lncRNA from 1 species